UGCUAUAGACUAGGGGGUGCACUUGUACAUCAAGCUGUCUGCUAUAGACUAGCAUUCUGUCCAGGGGGUGUACUUGUACAUCAAGCUGUCUGUUGUAGACUAGUAUUCUGUCCAGGAGGUGUACUUGUACAUCAAGCUGUCUGCUAUAGACUAGCAUUCUGUCCAGAGGGUGUACUUGUACAUCAAGCUGUCUGUUAUAGACUAGCAUUCUGUCCAGGGGGUGUACUUGUACAUCAAGCUGUCUGCUAUAGACUAGGGGAUGUACUUGUACAUCAAGCUGUCUGCUAUAGAUUAGCAUUCUGUCCAGGAGGUGUACUUGUACAUCAAGCUGUCUGCUAUAGACUAGCAUUCUGUCCAGGGGAUGUACUUGUACAUCAAGCUGUCUGCUAUAGACUAGCAUUCUGUCCANNNNNNNNNNNNNGAUGGAGAGGGGGAUGGAGGAGAGUAUUGGGUGACAGCGCUGGAGUCUCCGUCUGAGCUGCAACCCGACUAUGCCACAUGUAAUGACGACCACACGGAUGGUAAGAGUAACCAUGGUAAUGGCCGCACGAAUGGAAUCGUCAUCGGCGAUGAAGCUGGUAGUUCUGUUGCUGUGGAAACGUCCAGGCCGAGCAAGAGGCAUAAGUUGUGAGGUACCCUCCGGCCCUCUCCUGGAGGAGUGAUGAGUAUCUAAAAUGAUGCCCGGUGAUUGGCUGAGUGGAGGGUGUGUUGGUGGUGAUUGGAGGGAAUAAUAAGAGAGACUCAUGACGACAGCAUUCCAAACAAGCACUGGGUGUUGGGUUUACCGUAUAGAGGUGGUGGGCCAGAAUCAUUUAAGUCAAUUUGGACACACACACACACACACACACACACACAGAGUCCCACUGGUUAUAGUAGGGAAACCUUGGUCUGGUUAUUCAGUCUUGCUUUGAUGUCAUUAGACUGAUGUUACAGUGACCAUGUAAACCUGUAAACGCAUCACUUUAGCAAUAACUUAGUCCCAACUGGCACCAUAUUCCUUUAUACUAGUGUGCACUACUUUUUUUACCAGGCCCUGCUAUAGACUAGGGGGUGCACUUGUACAUCAAGCUGUCUGCUAUAGACUAGCAUUCUGUCCAGGGGGUGUACUUGUACAUCAAGCUGUCUGUUGUAGACUAGUAUUCUGUCCAGGAGGUGUACUUGUACAUCAAGCUGUCUGCUAUAGACUAGCAUUCUGUCCAGAGGGUGUACUUGUACAUCAAGCUGUCUGUUAUAGACUAGCAUUCUGUCCAGGGGGUGUACUUGUACAUCAAGCUGUCUGCUAUAGACUAGGGGAUGUACUUGUACAUCAAGCUGUCUGCUAUAGAUUAGCAUUCUGUCCAGGAGGUGUACUUGUACAUCAAGCUGUCUGCUAUAGACUAGCAUUCUGUCCAGGGGAUGUACUUGUACAUCAAGCUGUCUGCUAUAGACUAGCAUUCUGUCCAGGAGGUGUACUUGUACAUCAAGCUGUCUGCUAUAGACUAGCAUUCUGUCCAGGAGGUGUACUUGUACAUCAAGCUGUCUGCUAUAGACUAGCAUUCUGUCCAGGAGGUGUACUUGUACAUCAAGCUGCCUCACUACAGGAGCAGGAGGUGGGCUCCUGCCCUCUGGUCCGUUCUGGCUGUUACAAGGCUUUAGUACUCUAGGCCGAGGCCCAUAGGGUCCCUAUAUAUAUAGAUCAGUGGUUCCCAAACUGUUUCACUCAGGUCCCUCUUCCAGCAUUGGGGAACAUCCAUUUCUAUGGGCACAAGCACUGUUCAUGACCCAAACGGUUCACACCCCUAAAAUGUUGCAGAUUUUAAAGCUUAUUUCCUUGCAAUUCUAUACAUUUUGUCAUGUCUAAUGUGUUUUCUUGUGAUAUUUGAGUGACAAAAAAAUGAAUGUCUAUGGGCUAAAAAAAACAACCGUUAGCUGACGUGGGCUGGACAUUUCUGACAAGUUAUAUCUAAGUAAUGUAAUGACUGACAUGACGAAGAGGAACUGAUGAUGCAAUAACCUGUUUCCACACGUCGCCUUGUGUGUUCUACUAUUACAACUUUCAAGAGUCAGUUGAAAGCUGGACUGAGUUCCCCCUAGGGGGCCGCGCCCCACAGUUUGGGAACCGCUGAUAUAUGGAAUAGGAUACCAUCAGUAGUGUGUCCAUCCUCACUGGUUCAUCAGUACUGUGUCCAUCCUCACUUGUCCAACCUACUUUAGUCCCUGUCUUGUCUCAGGUGCCUGUUUGAGACAGACUUGGGUGUCUGUGCACUAGACAGGAAAUAGGGUGUCAUUUGGGAUAUUUGCUUUGGGACAAACUCGUUUAAAAAAUAUAUAUAUAUAUAUAUAUAUAUAGACGAACCGAAAAGACUUGGGUCGUCUUCACUUGGGAUGGACUACCUGAACAAUAUAAAUGUUUUCGUUUGCUAGACGUUUUUGCUACAGUGUGCACUAAUGAAUACAACCCUGAUGACGGACAGACUCUGCUGUAUUGUAUUGUUAUUUUUUUUACAAGAGGAAUGGUUGGUUGUAUGAUGAUGCAUUCUGAAUUUGAGCAUUUUAUUGUUAUGUUUAUUACUAUGGGGGCCAUUUUGAGACUAAACUUGAGGGACUGAAGUCCAGCUCUUGGAAACAGUGUUGGACUAGAAGGUGUCUGGCUCAGGGUAGAAACAUCACUUUGCCCUCCCCCCCCAUCCUAAACUAAAUGUGUAUUGCUGUCAGACCUCUGUUUAAAUACUAUUUGGAGUCUUUAACGUUUGCUCUAGCCUGCCUGGAGUGCUAGAUGGGAGGGGAGUUGCAGUUUUGGGACUAGUCUUUUAGGUCCAUUUAAGCCAGGCAAGCUCAAUCAAGCACUGAUCAAGUAUUUAAACUCAGGUCUGGUUAGCACUCAAGUCAGUCACAGGAUCCAAUGGUGCUACUAGACAGAUGAUUCAGGCCCUCAGCGAGCACAGAUCUCAGUCAUCUGUUACCUUUUUGAGGUUGUCAGGUCAUUAGGUCAAGGUUAAGUUACACUGCAUGACCACAUUCAUCAUCAAGCUGAAACCGUGCAGCACCCGCAUCCACUCACUGCUUUUGACCAGUGUCCCGAAUGGCUCCCUAUAUAGUAUACUACUUUUGACCAGGGUCCACAGGGUAGUGCACUACUUAUAGGGAAUAAGGUGCCAUUUGGGACGUACUCUUACUAUGUCGGAGUAAUUUGGGCACGGUCAGUGUUGACGUCUUUAGAAAGGUGACAUGUUGACCUGCUGGACAUCAACUGUAGUAAGUAUUACAGUGGAGAGUUAAAUGUUGUUGGGUUUCCUGGCCAAAGGGAGUUGGAUCUGCUGGACAUCAACAUUACAGUGGAGAGUUAAAUGUUGUUGAGUUUCCUGGCCAAAGGGAGUUGGAUCUGCUGGACAUCAACAUUACAGUGGAGAGUUAAAUGUUGUUGGGUUUCCUGGCCAAAGGGAGUUGGAUCUGCUGGACAUCAACAUUACAGUGGAGAGUUAAAUGUUGUUGGGUUUCCUGGCCAAAGGGAGUUGGAUCUGCUGGACAUCAACAUUACAGUGGAGAGUUAAAUGUUGUUGGGUUUCCUGGCCAAAGGGAGUUGGAUCUGCUGG
rnacentral:lncRNA from 13 species